rnacentral:rRNA from 1 species
AACGAACGCUGGCGGCAGGCCUAACACAUGCAAGUCGAGCGAGAUCUUCGGGUCUAGCGGCGGACGGGUGAGUAACGCGUGGGAAUAUGCCUCUUGGUACGGAAUAGCCUCGGGAAACUGGGAGUAAUACCGUAUGUGCCCUUUGGGGGAAAGAUUUAUCGCCAAGAGAUUAGCCCGCGUUGGAUUAGGUAGUUGGUGGGGUAAUGGCCUACCAAGCCGACGAUCCAUAGCUGGUUUGAGAGGAUGAUCAGCCACACUGGGACUGAGACACGGCCCAGACUACUACGGGAGGCAGCAGUGGGGAAUCUUAGACAAUGGGGGCAAACCUGAUCUAGCCAUGCCGCGUGAGUGAUGAAGGCCUUAGGGUUGUAAAGCUCUUUCAGCUGGGAAGAUAAUGACGGUACCAGCAGAAGAAGCCCCGGCUAACUCCGUG